rnacentral:lncRNA from 1 species
UAAUCUGUGACUAUAUAAUUGGUAUGGACAAAAACACACAAGCAUAAAAAGUCAAAUGAAUUUAUAUACAGUAAUUAAAACACCAAAUUAAUUACACAAUAAUAAUCACAUUGAAUACAUAUAACAACCAAAAAGACUAACGGUAAAAAAAAAACGAGGAAUAAUGACAAUUAAUGAAAUAUAAUAACAAUAUCAAAUAACCACACUCCACUAUAAAUAGGAAUAUCAAACACAUCAUAAAAAUAACAAACAAAAAAACAGCCAAAAACAAAAACAAAUAUCAUCUACAAAAACCAAAUGGAUAACAUACUCU